rnacentral:rRNA from 1 species
GGUUCGAUCAUGGCUCAGAUUGAACGCUGGCGAAGGAUAUUACACAUGCAAGUCGAACGGCAGCACGGACUUCGGUCUGGUGGCGAGUGGCGAACGGGUGAGUAAUGUAUCGGAACGUGUGCCUAGUAGCGAGGGGAUAACUACGCGGCGUAGCUAAUACCGCAUACGCCCUUCGGGGAAAGCGGGGACCUUCGGGCCUCGCACUAUUAGGAAGCGGCCGAUAUCGGAUUAGCCUAGUUGGUGGGGUAACGGCUCACCAAGGCGGCGAUCCGUAGCUGGUUUGAGAGGACGACCAGCCACACUGGGACUGAGACCUGGCCCAGACUCCUACGGGAGGCAGCAGUGGGGAAUUUUUGGACAAUGGGGGAAACCCUGAUCCAGCCAUCCCGCGUGUGCGAUGAAGAGGCCUUCGGGUUGUAAAGCACUUUUGGCAGGAAAGAAACGGCACAGGAUCUUUGUGCAACUGACAGUACCUGCAGAAUAAAAGCACCGGCUAACUGCGAUGCCAGCAGCCGCGGUAAUACGUAGGGUGCAAGCGUUAAUCCGGAAUUACUGGGCGUAAAGCCAUUAACGCAGGCGGUUCGGAAAGAGGAAUGUGAAAUCCGACUUAACUGCAGAACUGCAUUUUUAACUACCGAGCUAGAGUGUGUCAGAGGGUGAAUUCCGCGUGUAUAGCGUGAAAUGCGUAGAUAUGCCGGAGGAACACCGAUGGCGAAGGCAGCCUCCUGGGAUGGCACAUGACAUGUACACGAAAAGCGUGGGGAGCAAACAGGAUUAGAUACCCUGGUAGUCCACGCCCUAAACGAUGUCAACUAGCUGUUGGGGCCUUCGGGCCUUGUUGGCACCUUCUUGCGUGAAGUUGAAACCGCCUGGGAAAUCCUGGUCGCAAGGUCAAAAGCUCAAAGAGUCGCGGGGACCCGCUGAAGCGGUGGAUGAUGGAUUAAUUCGAUGCAACACGAAAAAACCUUACACCCAUAGCAUGUCUGGAAUCCCGAAGAGAUUGGGAGUGCUCGCAAGAGAACAGAAGACACAGGUGCUGCAUGGCUGUGAUAAGCUCGUGUCGUGAGAUAUUGGGUUAAGUCCCGCAACGAGCGCAACCCUUGUCAUUAGUUGCUACGAAGAGCACUCUAAUGAGACUACCCGGUGACAAACCGGAGGAAGGUGGGGAUGACAUUAAGUCCUCAUAGCUUACCGGUGGAGGCUUCUGCAUCCAUACAAUGGUCGGGACAGAGGGUCAUCUAUACGAGGGGGAGCCAAUCCCAGAAACCCGAUCGUAGUCCGGAUCGCAGUCUGCAACUCGACUGCGUGAAAGUCGAAUCCUUCAGUAAUCGCGGAUCAGCAUGUCGCGGUGAUACGUUCCCGGGUCUUGUACACACCGCCCGUCACACCAUGGGAGUGGGUUUGCAGAAGUAGUUAGCCUAACCGCCGGAAGGCGUUACGGUAAGUUCACGUGAAAGCUGGGGUGAAGUCGCAACCGAGUAA